ACUAUCCGAACUUCGGCAAAUACAGUAGGCUUGGCCGUCUUGUUUUAGAAGCGUAGCGAUUUUGCUUUUCCUUUCUGGCAGCAUAAAUUGCUUAGCAAUUUCUUCUUUCUGUGAAAAAAAAACACGUCAAUAAUUCAACGCCAUCUUGAAUUUCACGCCAUCUACUGGUAAUCGGUGAAAGUGCUAUGCAAGUCAUGGCGUGUCGUGCAAACGGGAGUUGCAGGAGACCCAGGAGGCUAAUCUUAUAGAUCUCGGGACGAAUCCAACCGAAAAGACCUCAUGAAUUUCCGUUCGCAAAACAGUUUUACCGCUAAAAAAUGAACGAUAAUGCGAACUGCAAAUUCGUUUAUCACUCAAUUCAGCGACUAUCAUAAAAGUUUUGUUGUAAUGAAUACAUCAUCAAAAAAAGUAAAAUGUUAAUGAAACUAAUAACUAACACAUAACGAUAAAAAUGAUGUUAAAUUUAAAAAUGGAAGAGGGGUAAACAAAACGUGGAAUAAUUACGCAAGAUUUGUAC